rnacentral:rRNA from 1 species
UACGUAGGGCGCAAGCGUUAUCCGGAAUUAUUGGGCGUAAAGAGCUCGUAGGCGGUUUGUCGCGUCUGCCGUGAAAGUCCGGGGCUCAACUCCGGAUCUGCGGUGGGUACGGGCAGACUAGAGUGAUGUAGGGGAGACUGGAAUUCCUGGUGUAGCGGUGAAAUGCGCAGAUAUCAGGAGGAACACCGAUGGCGAAGGCAGGUCUCUGGGCCACUACUGACGCUGAGACGCGAAAGCGUGGGGAGCAAACAGG